UUUUGAAUCAUAUAGGGUUCUGGACAUUUUUAAUCUGAUUUUGUUUCUGAAGCACGAGAAAUAUGGUGAGUGCAGACGAGUAGUCGAAUCGUAUUUAUCUCGGGCUUGAUUGUCUCAUCUAACUCACCCUUAAGGAGGUUUGAGUGUUCCUCUUUAGGGUGAUUGCUUAUAGGAUUAAAAUUUUAUGUCUUUUGGGGUUUAAUUUUUGUAAGAGAGGA
rnacentral:misc_RNA from 1 species